GACAUUCUGCAGGACAUGGGGAGAACCGACUGUUGAACUUUGCUAAAAGAUGAAACAAUCCUUCAAAUUUCCUGCUUCACAAAAAGUCUGCCAGAGACUGUAGGCCUGUAGGCUGAAGAUGGUUGCCUCAGCAUUGCAGAAGAACAUUAACAGACUGUCCAGGCUGCCAGAUGUCUCUGUCAUAUCUAGAAUUUUGGAAUUUGUUUACAAUGCCCUCCCCAUUUACUUAGAAGCAUACUGACGAGGACAUGUGAAGAGUGUCAUUUCCUGCUGACUCAGAUACAGGAUACAGAACCAGAAUUGUGAAGUUUGGCUUUCAUCAGAAAUACCAGAACAUGGGACAAGGAUGGUGUUUCCCAGUGAAAAGACUGUGCACCGUGACUGUAUUUAUUCCGUGGCCAUCUACGGUUUCCACCACACACCUCCUAGUGAAAUUUUUAUGAGAAACAGGCACUACCUUUGCUGAUCUGCGGAGUAGGUCAUCCAUGUUUGCUGCUAUGAUAAUUGGUAUGUC